UACGGGGGGGGCAAGCGUUGUUCGGAAUUACUGGGCGUAAAGGGCUCGUAGGUGGCCAACUAAGUCGGACGUGAAAUCCCUCAGCUUAACUGGGGAACUGCGUCCGAUACUGGAUGGCUUGAGUUUGGGAGAGGGAUGCGGAAUUCCAGGUGUAGCGGUGAAAUGCGUAGAUAUCGGAAGGAACACCAGUGGCGAAAGCGGCUUCCUGGUCCAGCACCGACGUUCAGGCACGAAAGCGUGGGGAGCAAACAGG
rnacentral:rRNA from 1 species